CCCCUCUCAGGGUCGCAUCUGGAGAGUUUCCAGUACUUUUCCAGUCAUGACUACAGGAAGGAGAGUCAAGCAGAGACCUAUCCAUUCCAUUCCUAGCUUGGCCAGUGGCUAGUGAGUGGAAGGCAAUCUGCUACAAGC